CAGUUAAAAAGCUCGUAGUUGGAUUUCUGUGGGGACGGAGCGGCCGGAUGCUUAUAGCAUCUCGAGCUAGCGCUUUCCCUACAUCCUGCCGCGAACCGUGCUACCAUUAGUUUGGUGGCGCUGGGGAUCGGCUCGAUUACUUUGAGAAAAAUAGAGUGUUCAAAGCAGGCCACACGCCUUGGAUAAGUUAGCAUGGAAUAAUGAUAAAGGACUUCGGUUCUAUUUUGUUGGUGUUCGGGACUGAAGUAAUGAUUGAUAGGGACAGUUGGGGCGGUCAGUAUUCCAAAGCGAGAGGUGAAAUUCUUAGACCUUCGGAAGACUAACAGCUGCGAAAGCGUUCCGCAAGGAUGUUCCCUUUGAUCAAGAACGAAAGUUGGGGGAUCGAAGACGAUCAGAUACCGUCGUAGUCUCAACUAUAAACUAUACCAGCUAGGGAUCGGCCGACGUUUACUUAUAUCGACUCGGUCGGCACCUUAUGAAAAAUCAAAGCAUCUGGGUUCCGGGGGGA
rnacentral:rRNA from 1 species